CUCCUUCCUGCCCGUCUCGUCGUGAUGUCGUCAGCGUGUGUAAUACAUGUGGAGCUCUUCCUGAGGAAAGAAGACCCACCCAAGACUUCAAAUGGUUAUCCAAGGUGAGAUAAUUCAAGCACAGGAAGAACAAGCCAGGAAAGGCUCCCGCUGACCCUCGGGUUUGACCCUGGCCCGUU